UACGUAGGUGGCAAGCGUUAUCCGGAAUUAUUGGGCGUAAAGCGCGCGUAGGCGGUUUCUUAAGUCUGAUGUGAAAGCCCACGGCUCAACCGUGGAGGGUCAUUGGAAACUGGGAAACUUGAGUGCAGAAGAGGAAAGUGGAAUUCCAUGUGUAGCGGUGAAAUGCGCAGAGAUAUGGAGGAACACCAGUGGCGAAGGCGACUUUCUGGUCUGUAACUGACGCUGAUGUGCGAAAGCGUGGGGAUCAGACAGG
rnacentral:rRNA from 1 species